rnacentral:rRNA from 1 species
GGGGAGCAGCCCAGAGCCUGAAUCAGUGUGUGUGUUAGUGGAAGCGUCUGGAAAGGCGCGCGAUACAGGGUGACAGCCCCGUACACAAAAAUGCACAUGCUGUGAGCUCGAUGAGUAGGGCGGGACACGUGGUAUCCUGUCUGAAUAUGGGGGGACCAUCCUCCAAGGCUAAAUACUCCUGACUGACCGAUAGUGAACCAGUACCGUGAGGGAAAGGCGAAAAGAACCCCGGCGAGGGGAGUGAAAAAGAACCUGAAACCGUGUACGUACAAGCAGUGGGAGCACGCUUAGGCGUGUGACUGCGUACCUUUUGUAUAAUGGGUCAGCGACUUAUAUUCUGUAGCAAGGUUAACCGAAUAGGGGAGCCGAAGGGAAACCGAGUCUUAACUGGGCGUUAAGUUGCAGGGUAUAGACCCGAAACCCGGUGAUCUAGCCAUGGGCAGGUUGAAGGUUGGGUAACACUAACUGGAGGACCGAACCGACUAAUGUUGAAAAAUUAGCGGAUGACUUGUGGCUGGGGGUGAAAGGCCAAUCAAACCGGGAGAUAGCUGGUUCUCCCCGAAAGCUAUUUAGGUAGCGCCUCGUGAAUUCAUCUCCGGGGGUAGAGCACUGUUUCGGCAAGGGGGUCAUCCCGACUUACCAACCCGAUGCAAACUGCGAAUACCGGAGAAUGUUAUCACGGGAGACACACGGCGGGUGCUAACGUCCGUCGUGAAGAGGGAAACAACCCAGACCGCCAGCUAAGGUCCCAAAGUCAUGGUUAAGUGGGAAACGAUGUGGGAAGGCCCAGACAGCCAGGAUGUUGGCUUAGAAGCAGCCAUCAUUUAAAGAAAGCGUAAUAGCUCACUGGUCGAGUCGGCCUGCGCGGAAGAUGUAACGGGGCUAAACCAUG